rnacentral:rRNA from 2 species
AAAUUUGAAAUCUGGCGGCCUCAGGCCGUCCGAGUUGUAAUCUAUAGAAACGUUUUCCGCGCUGGCCCAUGUACAAGUCCCUUGGAACAGGGCGUCAUAGAGGGUGAGAAUCCCGUCCUUGACACGGACCACCAGUGCUUUGUGAUACGUUUUCAACGAGUCGAGUUGUUUGGGAAUGCAGCUCAAAAUGGGUGGUAAAUUCCAUCUAAAGCUAAAUAUUGGCGAGAGACCGAUAGCGAACAAGUACCGUGAGGGAAAGAUGAAAAGCACUUUGGAAAGAGAGUUAAACAGUAUGUGAAAUUGUUGAAAGGGAAACGAUUGAAGUCAGUCGUGUCUAUUGGACUCAGCCGGUUCUGCCGGUGUACUUCCUUUAGAUGGGGUCAACAUCAGUUUUGAUUGCUGGAAAAGGGCAGGAGGAAUGUAGCACUCUCGGGUGAACUUAUAGCCUUCCGUCGUAUACAGUGGUUGGGACUGAGGAACGCAGCAUGCCUUUAUGGCCGGGGUUCGCCCACGUACAUGCUUAGGAUGUUGACAUAAUGGCUUUAAACGACCCGUCUUG